rnacentral:rRNA from 1 species
GAUGAACGCUAGCUACAGGCUUAACACAUGCAAGUCGAGGGACCGGCGCACGGGUGAGUAACACGUAUCCAACCUGCCCUUUACUCGGGGAUAGCCUUUCGAAAGAAAGAUUAAUACCCGAUAUAAAGGCUGGGGAUGCGUUCCAUUAGGUUGUUGGUGAGGUAACGGCUCACCAAGCCUUCGAUGGAUAGGGGUUCUUCGAGGAAGGUCCCCGACAUGGGAAAUGAGAAACGGUCCAAACUACGACGUGAGGCAGCAGUGAGGAAUAUUGGUCAAGGGGCGCUAGCCUGAACCAGCCAAGUAGCGUGAAGGAUGAAGGCUUAUGGGGAGUAAACGGCUUUUAUAUAAGAAUAUGUAUUAUAUGAAUAAGGAUCGGCUAACUCCGUGCCAGCAGCCGCGGUAAUUC